rnacentral:rRNA from 1 species
UACAGAGGGUGCGAGCGUUGUCCGGAAUCACUGGGCGUAAAGGGCGCGUAGGCGGCUCGGUAAGCGUGCGGUGAAAGCCCGGGGCUCAACCCCGGGUCGGCCGUGCGAACUGUCGAGCUGGAGCACUGUAGAGGCAGGUGGAAUUCCGGGUGUAGCGGUGGAAUGCGUAGAGAUCCGGAAGAACACCGGUGGCGAAGGCGGCCUGCUGGGCAGUGGCUGACGCUGAGGCGCGACAGCGUGGGGAGCAAACAGG